AUUGAACGCUGGCGGCAGGCCUAACACAUGCAAGUCGCACGCGUGGAGGACGGGUGAGUAAUGUCUGGGAAACUGCCCGAUGGAGGGGGAUAAAUACUGGCAACGGUAGCUAAUACCGCAUACCAUCGGAUGUGCCCAGAUGGGAUUAGCUAGUAGGUGGGGUAACGGCUAACCUAGGCGACGCUCCCUAGCUGGUCUGAGAGGAUGACCAGCCACACUGGAACUGAGACACGGUCCAGACUCCUACGGGAGGCAGCAGUGGGGAAUAUUGCAAAAUGGGCGCAAGCCUGAUGCAGCCAUGCCGCGUGGAUGAAGAAGGCCUUCGGGGUGUAAAGUACUUUCAGCGAGGAGGCGUUACUCGCAGAAGAAGCACCGGCUAACUCCGUGCCAGCAGCCGCGGUAAUAC
rnacentral:rRNA from 1 species